UGCGGGAUCUGCUAAUUGGUAGGCAAACGGACUCUGAAUCCGUGAAUCUAGGUUCGAGCCCUAGUCCCGCAG
rnacentral:tRNA from 1 species